UGGGGAAUUUUGGACAAUGGGCGCAAGCCUGAUCCAGCCAUGCCGCGUGCGGGAAGAAGGCCUUCGGGUUGUAGACCGCUUUUGUCAGGGAAGAAAUCUUCUGAGUUAAUACCUCGGGAGGAUGACGGUACCUGAAGAAUAAGCACCGGCUAACUACGUGCCAGCAGCCGCGGUAAUACGUAGGGUGCAAGCGUUAAUCGGAAUUACUGGGCGUAAAGCGUGCGCAGGCGGUUUUGUAAGACAGAGGUGAAAUCCCCGGGCUCAACCUGGGAACUGCCUUUGUGACUGCAAGGCUUGAGUGCGGCAGAGGGGGGAUGGAAUUCCGCGUGUAGCAGUGAAAUGCGUAGAUAUGCGGAGGAACACCGAUGGCGAAGGCAAUCCCCUGGGCCUGCACUGACGCUCAUGCACGAAAGCGUGGGGAGCAAACAGGAUUAGAUACCCUGGUAGUCCACGCCCUAAACGAUGUCAACUGGUUGUUGGGAAGGUUCCUUCUCAGUAACGUAGCUAACGCGUGAAGUUGACCGCCUGGGGAGUACGGCCGCAAGGUUGAAACUAAAGGAAUUGACGGGGU
rnacentral:rRNA from 1 species